AUGAAUUUUGUCUUGCUGCUUUUUGUUCUAUGUUGCUCUGUCUGUAUGCUACGUCUUGCUUGUCCUAUGUUGCUCUGUCUGUAUGCCAUGUCUUGCUUGUCCUAUGUUGCUAUGUCUUGCUUGUUCUAUGUUGCUAUUGUCUAUAUUGUAAUUGUUUUUAAUAACCUGCCCAGGGACUGCGGUUGAAAAUUAGCCGGCUGGCUAAAACCGGCACUUUUACUGAAACGUUGAUUAAUGUGCACUGUCCCUGUAAAAAUAAAAAUAAACUCAAACUCAAAUGGAUGGGGAUAUACAAUAUUAACAAAGUGUGUCUUCAUUUGUCCUUGUGUUACAGCCAUUGGUUGGACUGUCUGUAUUGCUUAAGACUUACCCAGACGUAGAUGGUUGUCCAAAGUCAAAGGUGCUUCCUCACUAACAAUGUUAGUUGUUGAUGAUUUGUCAUUGUCUUAUAAAUCCAACUCUGUGUUUAGACCAUGGAUCUAGAUUCAUUCUAUUUUGAAUCCAUUCUAUUUAAUUAUGUUUGUUUAGAUCAAGAGCUGAGCCUCAGGAUAUGUUUGUUUUCUUUGCGUUUGUAGCAGCCAACUCCUGCAAUGAAAUGAACAUGACCAAGUCAAACAUUAUUUUGUCUGAGUAAUGCUAUGCUAACAACUGCUUAUUACACACAGAAUGGAAUAGUGUUGUACAUACUGGGAGAACAGAAGAAUAAGAGAUGAUUCAUAAGCACUGUUUUAGACCCGCAAGAACCUGCAUCCACUCUGACACUAGCUCCCAGGAGGUCUGAUUGGCCUCAUUUCCAGCCACUCAAUUCACACGCUUCCAGGGGCAGCCCAAAGUCUGGGUAACUCUUUCUCUGUGAACCUAUUAAAUGGAGAGCAACAAGUGUAAGUUCAUCAUGCACAACAAGGCAGGAUAGGCUAUGAUGACUGACCAUACCGUACAACAUUUUGAUAAGAGAAAUUUACUUUGAUUUCUGGAAGUAUGUCAUUGUAAAAUGUAUACGAAUUAAGCCUGAAAAUGUACAAGAUACAAGAGAUUACAUAGACUUCUCUGUCAAAUAAAAUGUAUUUAAAUGUGUUUAGUGUUAAUAAUGAUGCUAAUACUGACCAAUGUUCCUUACUUAAAGUCAUGGUCUGGGUCCUCCAGUCUCCUCAUGGGCCCCAAUAGUACUCCCCCUUCCACCACCGAGCUGGAGUAGACCUGACCAACCAAUUCUCCAUUGGACAAGCUCACUCUCACACAGACAGCCUGAUAGGCACUGCCACCCUCACUGGACCUACAAGAUGCAACAAGAACCCAAGAUAAUGAAGGCUUAUUAUGACCCUUCAAGUGGAUGGCAUGGUGAAAUAUGAGGUGAAUACAAUAUAAAGGUAAAGAGCCUGGAGACAGUGGACACUAAGUGGACUUAAUCCUUCCUCAGAUAUAACCUCGGGGAGCUUUAUGCUCUAUUCUAAUGCAUUAAUAUCCUUAUUUAAAUUAGCAGUUUUCUGAAGGCUUUGCAAUGACUGUAUUGUUGAAACAUGUUUUUCUGCAGUUUUCCAGAAUCCAGAGUUUCAAUACUGGCCAAAACAUGAUAUAUUAUUGUUAAAGCUUUUCCUAGCAUUGCUGUGUUGUGCUCAAUGUCAACAAUCUCAAAAUAACCCAUGACUG
ensembl:lncRNA